UUUUGGAGAUAAGGUUUAGAUGAGGCUGUGAUUUGAAAUUUGUGAAACUAGUGAAAUAGUCACAAUGGAAUUUCGAACCUCCAAAACGGUGAAUUCAAUGUAUAUAGUAUAUAGUAAAAAAAAUUGUUAAAUAAUUUAAAAAUUUUAUUAGAAAUAGACAAAACAGAAUGACUAAGGUUUUAUGAUGGAAAAUUUAUUUAUAUUGGUAUACAAUUCGAUUUUAGGAAAUAAAGUUUAAAACAAGAAAAGAAAGUAUGCUUUGCAACAAGAAACAAAAUGUUAAAAGAAAAGAGUUCCUAAAUCCAAAUACGUUUAAUUUAAAAAAUAAACACUUCGUUUUUAAAAAAUAUUUAUUGCUAAACAUAUAAAUCUAACUAUUAAAAUUUUUGUUAGUUUACUUUUUAAAACAAAAAUUUCGUUAAUUUGCUGCAUGAUAAUAUUUUUUUAAAAUUUUACUUUUAAACAUGUAAAAAAUUACAACAUUAUAAAAAAAUUUAUUUUUUAUUUUUAAUUUUUUUCUUUAAAAAUAAUCUUACCUUCUUCUCCGACCGGAUCUAACGCACUCCUUGAGGGAGCUCUCGUGCUCUCUCAAGGGAGUGCUGAGCUCCCCUCGGAGGGGGACAGAUCUGAUGCUCCUCAGCAUCAAAAAGUGCCAGAUCUGAUCACGGGAUGACCAGUCGACGUAAGGGAGCACCGUCGACCUGUUAAUGUCUGAAAAAAGAGAAAAGUUGAAAGAAAGAGAAAAAGAUAUUUUAGUUUUUUUAUUUUUUUCAUU
rnacentral:lncRNA from 1 species